rnacentral:rRNA from 1 species
GCUGACAGUCUUAUCUGUCUGAGUAGGUCUGAUUUUAUCGAAUAUUAGAAGCUAAACAGGUUUGAGCCUGGCUAGUACUUGGAUGGAAGAUCACUGGAGAAUACUCUCAUGGCUUGUUGCUU